rnacentral:tRNA from 1 species
GGCACUUUGGCGGAGUGGUUAACGCGCGCGCCUGCUAUUCCCGAAAGGAAAUAUCUAGAACAGCGCGUUCCUUCGGGAGCGAGAGUUCGAAUCUCUCAGGUGUCG